AUUGAACGCUGGCGGCAUGCUUUACACAUGCAAGUCGGACGGCAGCACAGAGAAGCUUGCUUCUUGGGUGGCGAGUGGCGAACGGGUGAGUAACAUAUCGGAACGUACCGAGCAGUGGGGGAUAACUAAUCGAAAGAUUAGCUAAUACCGCAUAUAUUCUGAGGAAGAAAGCAGGGGACCAUUUGGCCUUGCGCUGUUUGAGCGGCCGAUAUCUGAUUAGCUGGUUGGUGAGGUAAAGGCCUACCAAGGCGACGAUCAGUAGCGGGUCUGAGAGGAUGAUCCGCCACACUGGGACUGAGACACGGCCCAGACUCCUACGGGAGGCAGCAGUGGGGAAUUUUGGACAAUGGGCGCAAGCCUGAUCCAGCCAUGCCGCGUGUCUGAAGAAGGCCUUCGGGUUGUAAAGGACUUUUGUCAGGGAAGAAAAGGGCGGGGCUAAUACCCCUGUCUGAUGACGGUACCUGAAGAAUAAGCACCGCUAAUAC
rnacentral:rRNA from 1 species